rnacentral:rRNA from 1 species
UACGGAGGGUGCAGGCGUUAUCCGGAUUCACUGGGUUUAAAGGGAGCGUAGGUGGGCAGGUAAGUCAGUGGUGAAAUCUCUGGGCUUAACCCGGAAACUGCCAUUGAUACUAUUUGUCUUGAAUAUUCUGGAGGUAAGCGGAAUAUGUCAUGUAGCGGUGAAAUGCUUAGAUAUGACAUAGAACACCAAUUGCGAAGGCAGCUUACUACGGAACUAUUGACACUGAGGCUCGAAAGCAUGGGGAGCGAACAGG